rnacentral:rRNA from 1 species
UACGAAGGGAGCUAGCGUUGUUCGGAAUCACUGGGCGUAAAGCGCACGUAGGCGGAUGUGUCAGUCAGGGGUGAAAUCCCGGAGCUCAACUUCGGAACUGCCUCUGAUACAGCACGUCUUGAGUCCGAUAGAGGUGGGUGGAAUUCCUAGUGUAGAGGUGAAAUUCGUAGAUAUUCGCAGGAACACCAGUGGCGAAGGCGACUUGCUGGGCUUGUGGUGACGCUGAGACGCGAAAGCGUGGGGAGCAAACAGG